rnacentral:rRNA from 1 species
GGGGAGCAAACAGGAUUAGAUACCCUGGUAGUCCACGCCGUAAACGAUGUCGACUUGGAGGUUGUUCCCUUGAGGAGUGGCUUCCGGAGCUAACGCGUUAAGUCGACCGCCUGGGGAGUACGGCCGCAAGGUUAAAACUCAAAUGAAUUGACGGGGGCCCGCACAAGCGGUGGAGCAUGUGGUUUAAUUCGAUGCAACGCGAAGAACCUUACCUACUCUUGACAUCCACGGAAUUCGGCAGAGAUGCCUUAGUGCCUUCGGGAACCGUGAGACAGGUGCUGCAUGGCUGUCGUCAGCUCGUGUUGUGAAAUGUUGGGUUAAGUCCCGCAACGAGCGCAACCCUUAUCCUUUGUUGCCAGCGAUUCGGUCGGGAACUCAAAGGAGACUGCCGGUGAUAAACCGGAGGAAGGUGGGGAUGACGUCAAGUCAUCAUGGCCCUUACGAGUAGGGCUACACACGUGCUACAAUGGCGCAUACAAAGAGAAGCGACCUCGCGAGAGCAAGCGGACCUCAUAAAGUGCGUCGUAGUCCGGAUCGGAGUCUGCAACUCGACUCCGUGAAGUCGGAAUCGCUAGUAAUCGUGGAUCAGAAUGCCACGGUGAAUACGUUCCCGGGCCUUGUACACACCGCCCGUCACACCAUGGGAGUGGGUUGCAAAAGAAGUAGGUAGCUUAACCUCCG